CGGGGCGUAGCUUAGCCCGGUAGAGCGCCUGCUUCGGGAGCAGGAGGUCGGAGGUUCGAAUCCUCUCGCCCCGA
rnacentral:tRNA from 2 species